rnacentral:rRNA from 1 species
UACGUAGGGUGCAAGCGUUAUCCGGAAUUAUUGGGCGUAAAGAGCUCGUAGGCGGUUUGUCGCGUCUGCUGUGAAAACUGGAGGCUCAACCUCCAGCCUGCAGUGGGUACGGGCAGACUACAGUGCGGUAGGGGAGAUUGGAAUUCCUGGUGUAGCGGUGGAAUGCGCAGAUAUCAGGAGGAACACCAAUGGCGAAGGCAGAUCUCUGGGCCGUAACUGACGCUGAGGAGCGAAAGCAUGGGGAGCGAACAGG